GUUCCAUGAAACCUACCUACUCCAACGGCCCAAUUAGUGUUUCAUUUGUGAAUUAAUACCUUAACAUGUGUAAUAAAUAGAUAUAGACAACAGAUCGGACCACCCAUUACACAACCUAGCUUGGUAUGAAAAAAGCCAUACCAGGCAUGGCCUGUUAGAAGGGCCUGAACUGGGUUGAGGAUUUGCGGCACACAGCCCAGGCCC
rnacentral:lncRNA from 1 species